rnacentral:rRNA from 1 species
AUGCUGGGCGUCUCCACCAGCCAGCUUUUGGUCAUCCUCGGGGCCUGCUCCGUGAUGAUGAAGCCCAGUGACAUGAUCAAGAUGGCAAGGGUGGCAGGGAGGAUGACCGGGAGAGCGGUCGGUCGCCUCAUGCUCUACCGCCGGCAGAUGGACGACAUCUUCGAGCAGACUGCAGCGAAGAAGAUUAAUACGGAGCUUCAAGAUGCCAUGUCAAAGUUACAAUCAAUUGGUUAUGAAGUUCAGAACUUAUCUAGAAUAACUCCUGGCCAGUUUAUCAAAAGGCAGCACAACACCGAGGGCAUGACUGAAGCAGGAACAUAUGAUGGUUCUGCAACUCAGAACUUACUGAUCCAUGGAUCGGCGGUGAUUUCUCUGUGGAUUGAGUGGUUGUCUCCACAAGCUGGUAAAUCCCACCCAAUUUCCCGCCCUUUUGGCGGCAUUGAAGAUCGGCAGUUCAGGCGGCAUUGUGGGAGCAGUGAUUUCAUUCGGGUACAAUCUGGAGAAUUUCGUGAUGAUAUUCGCAGUAUAAUUCGUGAUGAAAUUGAGAGCUUUUGUAGAAAAAAUCCUGAUCAAUUUACCAGGAGAUUAAAUAAUUCUGACGGAAUUCAGAACUCUGAAAAACCAGCUGAAGCUACAAAAUUUGAUGUAACUAAUAAAUUUGCAAUGACAUCUAAGGACAUGGAAUCAGCGAAUGCAAGCUCUACAAAUCUGCACAGCCAAGCAAUGAUGUAUGCCAGGCUAAGUGUAUCCCCAGGAACUAAGAUGAGUUCUUCCAUGAGUGUGAGUUACGGAGAACAAUUCAAGGAGAGCAAUGGACUGCUAAAUGUACUCCCAAUAUCAGCUGAAAGUGCUGGAUUGCUUCCAAAACACGCAGGUGAGCCAAAAGGUUCAGAUAUACUCCUGGAGGCUGUGGUUGAAGCAGAGGUUGCGGAGAACGCUAAAUUUUUCGUCUCACAGCCUCAUGAUCCGUCAUUGCCCAAGGAGUAA